rnacentral:rRNA from 1 species
GAUGAACGCUGGCGGCGUGCUUAACACAUGCAAGUCGAACGGAAAGGCUCCUGCUUGCAGGGGUACUCGAGUGGCGAACGGGUGAGUAACACGUGGGUGAUCUGCCCUGCACUUCGGGAUAAGCCUGGGAAACUGGGUCUAAUACCGGAUAGGACCACAUUUUGGAGGGUGUGGUGGAAAGUUUUUCGGUGUGGGAUGAGCUCGCGGCCUAUCAGCUUGUUGGUGGGGUAAUGGCCUACCAAGGCGUCGACGGGUAGCCGGCCUGAGAGGGUGUACGGCCACAUUGGGACUGAGAUACGGCCCAGACUCCUACGGGAGGCAGCAGUGGGGAAUCUUGCACAAUGGGCGCAAGCCUGAUGCAGCGACGCCGCGUGGGGGAUGACGGCCUUCGGGUUGUAAACUCCUUUCGCUAGGGACGAAGCGUUUUUGUGACGGUACCUGGAGAAGAAGCACCGGCUAACUACGUG